rnacentral:rRNA from 1 species
CAGGGACGAACGCUGGCGGCGUGCCUAAUACAUGCAAGUUGAGCGCUGAAGGUUGGUACUUGUACCGACUGGAUGAGCAGCGAACGGGUGAGUAACGCGUGGGGAAUCUGCCUUUGAGCGGGGGACAACAUUUGGAAACGAAUGCUAAUACCGCAUAACAACUUUAAACACAAGUUUUAAGUUUGAAAGAUGCAAUUGCAUCACUCAAAGAUGAUCCCGCGUUGUAUUAGCUAGUUGGUGAGGUAAAGGCUCACCAAGGCGAUGAUACAUAGCCGACCUGAGAGGGUGAUCGGCCACAUUGGGACUGAGACACGGCCCAAACUCCUACGGGAGGCAGCAGUAGGGAAUCUUCGGCAAUGGACGAAAGUCUGACCGAGCAACGCCGCGUGAGUGAAGAAGGUUUUCGGAUCGUAAAACUCUGUUGGUAGAGAAGAACGUUGGUGAGAGUGGAAAGCUCAUCAAGUGACGGUAACUACCCAGAAAGGGACGGCUAACUACGUGCCAGCAGCCGCGGUAAUACGUAGGUCCCGAGCGUUGUCCGGAUUUAUUGGGCGUAAAGCGAGCGCAGGUGGUUUAUUAAGUCUGGUGUAAAAGGCAGUGGCUCAACCAUUGUAUGCAUUGGAAACUGGUAGACUUGAGUGCAGGAGAGGAGAGUGGAAUUCCAUGUGUAGCGGUGAAAUGCGUAGAUAUAUGGAGGAACACCGGUGGCGAAAGCGGCUCUCUGGCCUGUAACUUACACUGAGGCUCGAAAGCGUGGGGAGCAAACAGGAUUAGAUACCCUGGUAGUCCACGCCGUAAAC